AUAAAAGUCACUGCACAUCACUGCAACAUAGUAUUUUUUACUUAUAUUUAUAAGUAAAAGAUAAAUAAAAGACUAAUAAAAUAUAAACAAAGUAUAAACAAAAAAUCUUUUAUUAUUGUUGAAUUAUUCCUUUAUCAAUCUGGCUUAGACCUCAAUUCAAAUUAUCGAUCAGUACAUUUAAGUAAAAUCCUAAUAAUCCUAAUUAUUUUACUUGAUUAUUUUAGAUGUACAGCACUUUGGGCAACAGCCCUUGUUUUAAAUGUGCUAUAUGAAUAAAUUUAACUUUGCAUUUGACUCUGUCUGAUUUGUUUUCCGAAUAUCAGUAUUUCAGUCAAUAUUUCUUCUGCAUGCUGUUUACCAAGAGAGAAAGAACUAACAAAUGACAAAGCCAAAAUAAACAGAAAGUAACCUUUUAUAUUGUAACAGUCACAAUUGAUUAAAAUGCAAUAUACAGAUUACAGUAUGAAACCUUGAAAUAUGACACUGACAUCUGAUGAUGAUGACACUUAGAGCAACACCCAGAAGGACGGGCCUCAUUCUUAUCUCCCUAUAAAAACAGUGAGAUGCCCUUGAACAUUAUAUCUUCAAAUCCUCAGAUUUUCCUCAACAUCUUUACAGAGUAGGACAUUUGCCAUGGAACCACAAAUGAGCAAACUGGAAGAGGCAAUGGAAAAAGUUCUUGACAUAUUUAAACAGAAAUGCACACGGAGCCAAACAAUGAUGAAAAAAGACCUGAAGAGAACCCUGAGAGCAGAGCUGGAUAAUUGGCUGCAGAACUGCAAGGAUAAGACAAAACGUGACAACAUCUUGAGGGAGCUGGAUGAAAACCCACAUGACUGUGUGAACUUUGACGAGUUUGUUUACUAUGUGACUCGACUGAUGAUGUGCAGUCAUUACUACUUUCAAAAAUAGACUGUUACUCUCAGCUUGUUUCUAACAAAGGAAUUGGAAAUGGGGAAGAUCUCAGCUUGACCGUGUUCAGCAGGAAAUAUCAUCCUCUCAACCCAGUUAAUGUAAUUUUUUUUUGUCAUUAUACAGCAACUCUUUCACCUUUGUACUGAUUGAUAACAUAAAUGUGAAUUUAUUAAAACUCUCAGAGUUUAUAUAGUUGUGUAUUUAAA